UUUGCGAACACUAACUGAUUAGACAGAUGUUUUUUCCCUCUGCUUGUAUUGAAUUGUAUUUUAUUGCGAUUGAAAAGAGAUAGUAAAAAGAUGUGAUUUCGUGCUUAUGAAAUAUGAGCUGACAAGACAAAAUGAAUCAAUUUCUUUCAUAUGUACGAGAUAUACAGGAGAGGUAACACAAAUUUGAUUGUGUAGCCAAUAGCCAUCUAAUUUGAUUCUUGUAACAGCCUUCUUGAUGAAUUACAAAUACACACAACAUAAACCUCUUCUUAUUCUAGUAAUACUUGUUGGGUUUGUGAUGAAAGUGAAUGAAAAAUAGAGAAAAAAUUAAAAAUGUGAGUUCACUUCAAGAAAAAAGUAUUGAUUUUAUACCCGAAAAACAAUAAUACUUUUGUCUGGUCUCAAAACUUUCUGAAUGUAUGUGUUUAGAAUUGACUGUAUAACUUAGAGAGCGACCGAUUACAUCGAUUUGCAUAUUUUCCUAAUGGACCUUAUUAACUUGCCG
rnacentral:lncRNA from 1 species